CACGCGCGCGCGCGACCCGUCAACGUCGUCUCCAUAACUAUUUCCACGUGAACGCACUCGCAGUUCAGUUUGCCGCCGCCCGCGCCGGUGCUAGAAAUCUAUCGAGUCGAGUACUUAUCAAGCGGCUGUCAUAGUGUCAGUGCGAUAAGGUCAGCAAAAACUGUUCUCGCGAUUUUUCGUUGCUCUGAGAAGAAUAAUGCAGCCCAGCGCAGCUAACCCCGUCGACUACUCGCUGGUCGAGAGUCUGGCGAAGAAUCAACAUCGUAAGGCCUACGACGGUGUCAUUCAAUAUGGAACGGCAGGUUUUAGAACAAAGGCUGACAUUCUUGAUCAUGUGCUCUUUCGAAUGGGGCUCUUGACUGUUUUACGCUCACAAGUUAAAAAAGCUGCCAUUGGCUUGAUGAUAACAGCCAGUCAUAAUCCAGAGGCUGAUAAUGGAGUCAAGCUUGUUGAUCCUAAUGGUGAGAUGUUGGAGUCAUCAUGGGAAACUAUUGCUACAAGACUUGCCAAUGUCCAAGACAGCCAAGUUGUCUCAACUCUACAAGAAAUUAUCAAGGAACAAAAUAUUGACACAAGCUACCCUGCAUCAGUCAUUAUUGGAAGAGAUACUAGAAGUAGCAGUUUGCCGCUGUCCCAAGCAGCGGUAGAAGGAGUCAAGGCUAUGAAUGGCAAUUUGAAGGAUUUUGGAGUUGUCACUACCCCUCAGCUUCACUAUGUAGUACACUGCACUAAUACAAACGGAGCCUAUGGAGUUCCUACAGUCGAGGGCUAUUAUGAAAAAAUUAGUAAAGCUUUCAAGACAGCUGUUGGUGGCAAGAAAGAUAAUGACAAGUACAUUGGUAAAGUGCAGAUAGAUGCUGCUAAUGGAGUUGGUGCUCUUGCAGUGAAAGAAUUCAAAAAGCAAUUGUCUGAUGUAAUUGAUAUUCAAAUUUAUAAUGAUGGAAAUGGACAGCUUAAUCAUAUGUGUGGAGCUGAUUAUGUCAAGAUACAACAAAUUCCUCCAGUCAAUGAUCCACUGAAGCCUCUGGUAAGAUCUGUCAGUAUUGAUGGGGAUGCUGAUAGAAUUGUCUAUUAUUAUACAGAUGAGAAUAAUAAAUUCCAUCUUCUCGAUGGAGACAGAAUAGCUAUUUUAGUUGCAGCUCAUUUCAAAGAAUUACUUGAAAAAAGUAACUUGGACUUGCAAUUGGGAUUAGUACAAACUGCUUAUGCCAAUGGGGGCUCAACAGCAUAUAUCUCUGAAACUCUGUUUUAGGUUAUGUUGACGAAUCGUUACUUCAAGAACUUGGAAAAAAUUUAAUUAACGACCUGCAACUAUUUUUCCAAGAAAAUAAAUAUGGAAUCAAAGGCUCUUAUACGUGCCAAGUCACAUGUAAAAUACAAGUUAAGAUCAACAGUAUUAUCUCAGUGUUCUCAUCACCUUAUUGCUGGACAUAACAAAACUCAAUCAAAUCAGAACCAAAAUGAUGAAUUUAGUGCACCAUCCUUGUCUGAAAUGUUUCAAGAAUUUCCAUACAAUAGUGAUCUUCCAAAACCACUUCUACCCCCAAGCAGAAUCCAACGUGAUUCUGUUAGAGAAGAUUCAUGUAUGGAACUCAUUAAUUUAAAACACAAAAUAAAAGAUGAUGUCAAUAGAUAUUUAGAAUUGUAUAAAAAACAUUGUACUACACUAGACCGAGACAAAAACAAAACUAGUCAUACAAUGCUGCCAAGAUAUGUGGCUACAACAGCAGAAAUUCUGGAAUGUGAUCCAGAUCCAGAAUUUUCUGGGACUUACAACUGGUAUUAUACAGGUGGUACAUUGAAUGGUAUUUUAUACGAUACAAGAAACAUCUUGGUCUUCCCAUAUGCACAAGAGUUGAUUGCACUGCCAGUAUCAUUAAACGAUGUCUCAUUAUUUAAACCAGAUUUUAAAAAUGCUUCAAAAGUAGCCCUCAAACGAAAUCCUUUUCAAAUCGUAUGUUCUACAGUAAAUAAUCAUGGAAGAAUCUUGACUAGGCAUAAAAAUGAAUGCUGUGUGUACAAUAUUUUUAAUAUGGAUAAAAAGAAAUUGCAACUCUUAGAAAUUGACAAACAACCGUCUGAAAGCUCGUAUAUUUCAGCUGAUCUUGAUCCAGCAAAUGUAACUAGGUACUGCACAACAAGUAUUAAUAGAAGUAUAACCAUUUGGGAUACAACUAAAUUCAGAGGUAUUUUAAGUGGAAAAGUUCCAGUCACAAGGUUCUUUGAAGAUAGUUGGGCUUUUAUAAAAUAUGAUGAAUGCAAUACCAAUAUUAUUAAAUAUGUAGAUAGGCACUGUGUGCAUUAUUAUGACUCCAGGUCUCCAAUAGCAAGACCUGCUUUAACAAUGUGUCCUAAAGAAAGCUUAGAAGACUGGGAAUAUCUUUCUUCAUACAUUGGGAGUUGUAAAAGUGAGUAUUACUCUUAUGUUGGUUCUAAUCUCAGCUUGUGUCUAUUAGACAGCAGGAAUCCUAGUAGCACAGUUAUUAAAAAAUGGACUCACCUAUUUAAAAGCAGUCCACUUUUCACUGAUGUUUGCUUUAGAGAAAAUAAAGAAUUUGUAAUUAUUGCCAGUCAAAUUCCUGGCGAAACAGCAAUAAUACUAAACAGUUGGAACUCCAGCGAAGAGCCUCCUGAAUCUUACAGUACACCUUUCUCUCCUCCUAGUUGCAUAGAGACUCUCAUGGCAUCACAUUCUCAAGGAAAGUGUCUUAGUCCACAAUUACAAAAGAGACUAUCAUUGUGUAAUACUGGAUGUAUGGCAACUGUAGAUACACCAAGUGGAGAUGUCUUUCUUCUAACCCAAAAUUCUGUAAAUGACAUUUUCUAUCAAGGGAUUGGACAUCAAGAACAACUGGAUCUUUAUUCUCUAGAAAAUUGCAAAGCUUUGUACAAGCUAAAAAUAUGGGAAAGAGAGGUUUUGAAAAACAGCUGUCAUGAUAUUGUAUCGCCACUUGUGGUAACACAAAGAACAAGCGCUAGAGACAUGCUGAGAAACUUUACUAAUCAGAAACUAAAAUCUAGUGCCUAUAAUAAUGAACCAGAUGAACCAUUCAAUCAUAAUCCAAAAUGGAAAAGAUCUGUAGCAGAGCUCAAUACGUAUGUUGACAUCUUUGCUCCAGAAUUACUGGCUCCUUGGGAAAUGUUGGCUGAAACUCCAAUGGUUCCAAUAACAGCAGCACCACAUCAAAAAGUUCUUUCUUGGCUUGGUAUGGCUGAGAAAAAUCAAGAAGUGACAACUGGACCCAACACUAGUGACACACCUGUUGUUGUUGAAACUCAAGAGACUCAUCAUCAAGAUCAAGAUGUAUUUAUCACACAUGACAGUGAAUCUAUACAACAGUUAUUUUUACCAAAAGUCAAAUCUCAGACUACACAAGGUGGAAAAAAGAAAAACAAACGUUCUCAAUAUGUUCCAGGAUUUUAAAUUUUAUAUAAAGUUCCUGUGGCUUGUGUACCAACUGGUGUAAAGCAUUUACAUCACAAGGCUCUUGAAUUUGAUAUAGGAGUUUACUUUGAAGCAAAUGGUCAUGGUACUAUUGUUUUCAAGGACUCAGCUGUUCAAAUAAUUCGUACUGCUGCCGAUAAUCCUAGUUUAUCAGAAAAUCAACGAACAGCUGCUCACACUUUGAGUUCCAUUAUUGAUGUGAUUAAUCAGACUGUUGGAGAUGCCCUUAGCGAUAUGCUGUUAGUUGAGCUUAUUUUGCGCGCCAAAGGAUGGGAUACUGUUGCCUGGGAAAAGAGUUACCGCGAUCUUCCCAAUAGACAAGUAAAGGUUAAAGUACAAGAUAGGAAUGCAAUCACAACCACGGAUGCGGAGAGGCGAUGCGUUACACCAAUGGGUUUGCAAGAAAAAAUUGAUGAAAUCGUUGCUAAAUAUCCAAAAGGAAGAUCUUUUGUCAGACCAUCUGGAACUGAAGACGUCGUGCGAGUCUAUGCCGAAUGUGACAGGAUUGAAGACGUGGAAAAAUUAGCUGCACAAGUAUCAAUAGCUGUUUUUGAAUUGGCAGGAGGGAUUGGAACAAAACCAGUAGUGCCAUAAAGUAUGCGUAUUUUCACACCUGCUUGCUUUAACAAUAGUAACUGGUACAAAAAUUGUAUUCAUUUCAAAAAAUGUGUGUUACAGCGGUUA